rnacentral:rRNA from 1 species
AGUGAACGCUGGCGGUAGGCCUAACACAUGCAAGUCGAACGGCAGCACAGUAAGAGCUUGCUCUUACGGGUGGCGAGUGGCGGCCGGGUGAGGAGUACAUCGGAAUCUACUUUUUCGUGGGGGAUAACGUAGGGAAACUUACGCUAAUACCGCAUACGACCUACGGGUGACAGCAGGGGAUCUUCGGACCUUGCGCGAUUGAAUGAGCCGAUGUCGGAUUAGCUAGUUGGCGGGGUAAAGGCCCACCAAGGCGACGAUCCGUAGCUGGUCUGAGAGGAGGAUCAGCCAGACUGGAACUGAGACAGGGUCCAGACUCCUACGGGAGGCAGCAGUGGGGAAUAUUGGACAAUGGGCGCAAGCCUGAUACAGCCAUACCGCGUGGGUGAAGAAGGCCUUCGGGUUGGAAAGCCCUUUUGUUGGGAAAGAAAAGCAGCAGGUUAAUACCCCGCUGUUCUGACGGUACCCAAAGAAUAAGCACCGGCUAACUUCGUG